ensembl:lncRNA
AUGUCUCUCUCUAUCUCUCUCUCUCUCCUUUCGUUAUCUUCCUCUCUCUCACUCAUUCCUUCAGUCGGUGUCCUAGUCAAGUGCUGUCUAUCAAGUGUCCGGGUCCCAUUGAGAGAAAUCACAUCCCGACCAUCUUUGUCAGCCAGACAACCUCAUGACCCCCAGGGAGGGUGUGAGAAAGCGAGAAAUGUGUUUUUCGGUAAAGGUCUAUCAUUUCCAUCAAGGUCAUGAGUCAAGGGCACCACCGGUUGACAGCCUGCAUAUACUGUAGAAGAGAACAACUGGCAGAGAAGUCGGUCUCCUGGAGACAAAGAGAGCGAGAGAACAAAUGAGGGAGAAUAAUAUGUGAGGUAAAGAUGCAAUAGAAUGACAUCAGCAGUUGAGGGAGUAAUCAUCACUGUGGGGUGACAAAACGGGUAUAUCUGCUGACACUCUAGUCUAAAAUAUAAUGAGUACAGUGAGCUUUUAGCUGCUGUGUCUUCAUAACUUAAAGGCUUCAGCCGACUGUCUGAAUAAGAGAGAAAACACACAAUCAGUGCAACUGUAAGGUUUUGUGAGAAAAAAAAAAAAACUCUUUAGCAGUGGUUUUAUAUGUUGGUUUCAAACACCUUGUUCAAAACCUUCUUAAAAAAACUAAUAUCCAAAAAAGAAGAUAUUUAUAAGGUUACACUAUUUUGAUAGUUCAUUUUAAACACUCUGCUAACUAUACAGUAAGUAACUUCACAACUAUAUCCAGGGUGUCCGCGGGGUCUUAAAAAGUAUUAAAAGUUGAUAAAUCAAUUUAUAGAAAAUUAAGGGCCUUAAAAAGUAUUAAAAAGUCUUAAAUGCCAUUUACCAAAGUAUUAAAUUUUGUAUCAUCUUUUCAUUAUGUAUAUUUGUCCGAAUAGUGGGGUUCUGUGUAGUUUAUUUAUGGAAUCCCGCAAGAUUUGACGUCAUCUGUUAGCGCGCUCACUUACUGAACGCACUGCUGUGUGAUAGCGCGAGGCUUGUUGAUCCCGCUCUCGCUGAAUUUCUGACCAUCACCGCAUGCUCCCAGUCCCAUCCGCUCCCGCGAUUUUUGAAUCCGCUCCCGCAAACAUUCUAAUAUUGUAUAUAAUUUUAGCGCAUCAUGGCGCCGCUAUCAAUCUGUGGGGUAUUUAAAUCCCUUUUGAAAUAAGCGCGGGCAGUUCUCUUUCGAUUUCGCGAUCGCGCGUGCACUGUGUAAAGGGAGCACAUCUAUAUUUGUCAAUAAGCUCGCAAUCUGUUGAGGAGAAAAUCCUCCAACAUCUUGUCAGUCAUCUCUCUUACUUUUGACCUGUGAUCAGUCAAUCUGACUUCUGCAGCUGAUGUUGGAUGCAGGGUUGUUGUUGUUUUUUUAUACGAAAUUGGGCUGCUUUUAAACUUGCAAUGGGUUGAUUUUUCCCCAGUGGGUUAAAGGUUUGAAAUAUUGCAUAAAUUACAUUUAGUUGAAAUGCUUGCACUGAAACAUUUUGCAUUGUACCUGUAAUAAAACUGUGCUAAAUGUUUUGGGCCACACUAGUAGGAAGCAUUUGAGCUGUGUUUAUGAUAAAUGUGUAUAAUAGUGACUGUAAAAUAUGUAUUUUAGAAAUGGAAAUGACCUUUUUAUUUUUGGGACAUGGUAAUUGCGCUACUUUUUUUUUUUUUUACCGCAUUGGGCUUGGGAUGCACAAUUAAAAGGAUGUAAUAGUUGUGAUCAUAAUUUUACCAUGAUCAUUCACACUUGAUCAGGUGCAGUACUGACACUAUCAAAUCAAGCACUCCGUAAUCACAGGUAAACUGUCUGAUCAGUCAGAUGUUUGUCAUGAGAAGUGUUCCACAAAACAGCUAUGGUUUGCAGACAGUUAUAAGAGCUGAUGUUACAAAUACAUCUUUUGAAUAUACUGUAUGAACUCAUUGUCCCAUCAGCUUGGAGAGCUUUAUUUUCCCUCCUCAAUAAGUUUUGUCAGUUGUUUUGUUUAUUGGUCUAAUUCUUGUUUCUUGGGUUGCAUUGGUUAGUCACUCAGUUAAUUAUCUUGUGCUUCGUUCCCACCCUUCUGAAUUAUGUUGUAUUGAUAAGGAGUUAUCACAAAGUCGGUCUGUUUAGUUGUGCUAUCUUACAAUCAAUAUAGGCCAAUAGUAAAUGUAAGUUAAAGUGUCCCCGUUGUAACCGGUUAAAACUUGGAGUGGCGAUGAGGUCUUAAAAUGUAUGGAAAGAGUCUUAAAAAAGGUCUUAAAAGGUAUUAAAUUUUACUCCAUUAUUCCUGUAUAUACCCUGAUAUCUUAAACUCUCAUUAAUAUGCAACUAAAUGUCAACUCUUACGUUAGUGGACUAUAGGGCUUUUCACACCCUGGGGUUAUCAUCAAUCUAAACGCUUUUAACCACAGGAUUUUGCUAUGGUUUUGACUGUUAUGGUUCAACAUUUCAUUUAAAAUUCAGUUAUUAUGUAUAAUUGACCCACAAAUCACUUUAAUUUCAGAUAAUCUUGAAAACCUAUAAAAGUUCAUUUUAGUCGGGUCUUUCAUUUCUAACCCAUUCAUAAUAAUUAAAAAAAAUAUAUAUUUUUAUCAUCCAUUAAUUUCUCUACAUGGCUAUACAACAUCCAGUUUUUGUCAGACUUUUCCCUCAAGCAUUUCAUUACCACUAUCAAAUGCUCUCAACAAGAAUUCAGUUCCUUUUAUUUUUCCCACAGUUUAUGAUUUCUCUGUUGCUCAGUCCAGCAUUUGAUCUAUACAGUCUCAAAACCAACCUUACAGAUCCUGAUUACUAUUCCUAAGAAUGGUACGUUGAUCCCAAAUUCCAAAAAAAAAAAAAAAAACACCCAGAAAACAGUGCUUUUGCUCGUUUUAUACAACUGUCCAAAACAAUCAGAGAAAUUGAUUAAAACUUAACAUUUUAACUUCUGCACCCCCAAUACUCUUUUUAUUACUUCCUCUGGCCUCCUGGGAACUUUAGGUUCAGGAUGUUUUCUCCCUCAAAGUAUGUUAUUUAAUGUCUAUCCAAAAAAAUUUAAAAUACAGUUGCUUUUUAAUGCAUAACCAUUAUAUCGCGCGCACACACACACACACACACACACACAGACCUUGUGUGCAAAGUUCACAGGCCUGUUUCUCAGGAAGGUCCUCCAGAUCUGUAGGAUGAACAGAGGAUGAUCGUACCCUCCAGAUGGUGCUGGAUUUUCACACUGGACUCAUUAGAUAUUUAAUCAUCUCUGGUCCGCAGAGCCAUGAACCCUGAGGGACAAGGCUGUCCGGUGUCCAACGGCCAUCUGACCUCACAGCCUGGUCACUGAUGAGCCAAACAGAAAGAGAACAGACAGCUGGAUAGAAUGUGUCCUUUUGGAAAUGAACCGUACUGUAAAAUGUAAAGCAUUUAACAACCGAUUUGUGAUACAGAAACCUUUACAUGAACACAAUGCAUUUACAGCCAGAUUUCUGUGACUCUGAUAUUCAACCCAAGUCUGGUGGGAGCCAUCAUAUUCAGAUUUUAAUACUAGAGUCUGAAAUAGCGAAUGCUCACUGGCACUUCCACACAGGAUAAACAUUACUCCUUAAAUCAUUUUGUAAUUCCUGCUGCGUUUAAUCAGAUUAAAUAAUGCUAAUGUCUAUGAUACAUCCAGAGAAUAAAGCCCAGACAAUUCUCAUACCUCCAAAUGCAGGAACAUGUCACCCCCUCUUCCUGUGGAUUCUCUUCAGGCACUUGUCAUUCCAUUUACUCACCAAAAGUUCAUUUCCACUGAAUACACAUCCAUCUAUAAGCCAGAGGGAUAAAUGAGACUGAGAGCCAAAUAUCCAUAUUCAAUUUCUCUCCUUCACUGAGGGAUGCAGUCAGCAGACUGCCAAUUUAAAAAAAAAGUGCAGUGACAUCUUUCUCUAUGAGCACCCAUGUCUCAACUGGAUGAAGCCACUGAGAGUGAGAUGAUGAAUAGUAAAUCCCUGAUAUUUUCAGAUUGUCCAUUAAUGAAUCUAUUAAAGAGGUGUUUAACCCACAAAUGAAAAUGAUGUCAUUAUUUAUUCAUACAUACAUUAUACAUUAUUGUUAUUUUGAGUCCUCAUAGUAUUAAUGAUAAUGGAUAUGAAUAUUUAUUUUUUAUACUUUAAUUAGUCUUUUAUCUGCCACAUAAAAAACAUUCCUUUUGUGCUGAGUAAUUACAUUUUUUAUUUAAAAAUGUUAUUUAAUUUUUUUUUUGUAUUCUGUAGAAAUACCAAAGUCGUUCUACCACAUUUUUAAUUUAAUAAAUUAAGUCUUAUAAAUAAGUUAUUAUCAUAACAGAAAAUUUCACAUACCUAUGAGCACUAUGAGCUUCAAUCUGUGGUGGAAACCACCUGUGACAUUUAUGUUAUUCUGUGACACUGAAUGCGUCCAUCAACUGGUUUACCAAACAAAAAAAAGUGUGAAAUCAUAACCAUUUCAACCAAUUCAAACUGAUACAAAAGGUGUUUGCUGUAAAAUAAAGGGGUUAGGGCUAAUUUAAAGUGCUCUCCAGGCAUAUUAAAGGCAUAAAAAUGAACACUAUUUCAAAAAAGAUGUUAAAUCAGUAAUGUGCUUGCCAGGAAUACUCACAA